AAACCAACAGGGAUUCCCUUAGUAACGGCGAGUGAACCGGGAAAAGCUCAAAUUUGAAAUCUGCCAACAGGCCGAGUUGUAAUUUGUAGAUGGCUACACUGCAUAAUAGUAGAUGCUCAAGUUCUUUGGAAAAAGACAUCAUGGAGGGUGACAAUCCCGUGAGGCAUGUUACUAGGAGCAUAUAGUGGGCUUUCUAAGAGUCGAGUUGUUUGGGAAUGCAGCUCAAAGUGCGUGGUGAAUACCAUGUAAAGCUAAAUAUGGACGAGAGACCGAUAGCGAACAAGUACUGUGAAGGAAAGAUGAAAAGCACUCCGAAAGGAGAGUGAAAUAGUACGUGAAAUUGUUAAAGUGGAAGGGCUUGAGAUCAGAAUUGGUAGUUUGGGUUCCACGUCCUCUUGGGGGCGUGUACUCCCUUUCCACCGGGCCAGCGGGAGUUUCGUCUCUUGGGUAAAAGCAGUGGAAUGUAGCAGCUUGUCUGUAUUAUAGCCUCUGUUCAUACAAGACGUCGA
rnacentral:rRNA from 1 species